UACGUAGGGGGCAAGCGUUGUCCGGAAUCAUUGGGCGUAAAGAGCGCGUAGGCGGCUCGAUAAGUCUGCUGUGAAAGUCCAGGGCUCAACCCUGGAAGGCCGGUGGAAACUGUCGGGCUAGAGUCCGGAAGAGGCGAGUGGAAUUCCCGGUGUAGCGGUGAAAUGCGCAGAUAUCGGGAGGAACACCAAUGGCGAAGGCAGCUCGCUGGGACGGUACUGACGCUGAGACGCGAAAGCGUGGGGAGCAAACAGG
rnacentral:rRNA from 1 species